rnacentral:rRNA from 1 species
CGCGUAGGCGGUUUGAUUAGUCAGAUGUGAAAGCCCAGGGGCUUAACCUUGGAAUUGCAUUUGAUACUGUCAGGCUGGAGUGUGGUAGAGGGAAGCGGAAUUCCGGGUGUAGCGGUGAAAUGCGUAGAUAUCCGGAGGAACACCAGUGGCGAAGGCGGCUUCCUGGACCAACACUGACGCUGAGGCGCGAAAAGCGUGGGGGAGCAAACAGGAUUAGAUACCCUGGUAGUCCACGCCCUAAACGAUGAGAACUAGCCGUUGGGGGGUAUUUUGAAACCCUUAGUGGCGCAGCUAACGCGAUAAGUUCUCCGCCUGGGGAGUACGGCCGCAAGGUUAAAACUCAAAGGAAUUGACGGGGGGCCCGCACAAGCGGUGGAGCAUGUGGUUUAAUUCGAUGAUACGCGAGGAACCUUACCAGGGCUUUAAAUGUAACGGGACAGAUCUAGAGAUAGAUCCUUCUUCGGACUCAUUACAAGGUGCUGCAUGGUU